AGGUCCGCCGCCUCAGGAUGGGUCUGCGGCCGAUUAGGUAGUUGUUGGGGUAAUGGCCCAACAAGCCAUUGAUCGGUACGGGUUGUGGGAGCAAGAGCCCGGAGAUGGAUUCUGAGACACGAAUCCGGGCCCUACGGGGCGCAGCAGGCGCGAAAACUUUACAAUGCGAGAAAUCGUGAUAAGGGAACCCCGAGUGCCCGUAAAUUCGGGCUGUCCAUCAGUGUAAAUAACUGGUGAAGAAAGGGCCGGGCAAGACCGGUGCCAGCCGCCGCGGUAAUACCGGCGGCUCGAGUGGUGGCCGCUAUUACUGGGCUUAAAGCGUCCGUAGCUGGGUUGUUAAGUCUCCUGGGAAAUCUACCGGCUCAACCGAUGGGCGUUCAGGAGAUACUGGCAACCUAGGGACCGGGAGAGGUGAGGGGUACUCCAGGGGUAGGAGUGAAAUCCUGUAAUCCUUGGGGGACCACCUGUGGCGAAGGCGUCUCACCAGAACGGCUCCGACAGUGAGGGACGAAAGCUGGGGGAGCAAACCGGAUUAGAUACCCGGGUAGUCCCAGCCGUAAACGAUGCGCGUUAGGUGUGUCGGUGACCACGAGUCACCGAGGUGCCGAAGGGAAACCGUGAAACGUGCCGCC
rnacentral:rRNA from 1 species